rnacentral:tRNA from 2 species
AGCCCGGUCGUCUAGCGGCCAAGGAUCUCGGGCUCUGGCCCCGAGGACGCCGGUUCGAAUCCGGCCCGGGCUA